UGAUGACAUUUCUUCUGUUUUCAGAAC
rnacentral:piRNA from 1 species